rnacentral:rRNA from 1 species
CAGUCGCCGCGGGAAUACAGAGGGUGCGAGCGUUAAUUGGAUUUACUGGGCGUAAAGCGUGCGUAGGCGGCUUUUUAAGUCGGAUGUGAAAUCCCUGAGCUUAACUUAGGAAUUGCAUUCGAUACUGGGAAGCUAGAGUAUGGGAGAGGAUGGUAGAAUUCCAGGUGUAGCGGUGAAAUGCGUAGAGAUCUGGAGGAAUACCGAUGGCGAAGGCAGCCAUCUGGCCUAAUACUGACGCUGAGGUACGAAAGCAUGGGGAGCAAACAGGAUUAGAUACCCCUGUAGUCCCUGUCUCUUAUAC